CAGUAGGGGAGACUGGAAUUCCUGGUGUAGCGGUGAAAUGCGCAGAUAUCAGGAGGAACACCGAUGGCGAAGGCAGGUCUCUGGGCUGUAACUGACGCUGAGGAGCGAAAGCAUGGGGAGCGAACAGGAUUAGAUACCCUGGUAGUCCAUGCCGUAAACGUUGGGCACUAGGUGUGGGGGACAUUCCACGUUUUCCGCGCCGUAGCUAACGCAUUAAGUGCCCCGCCUGGGGAGUACGGCCGCAAGGCUAAAACUCAAAGGAAUUGACGGGGGCCCGCACAAGCGGCGGAGCAUGCGGAUUAAUUCGAUGCAACGCGAAGAACCUUACCAAGGCUUGACAUGUUCCUGACCGCCGUAGAGAUACGGUUUCCCCUUUGGGGCAGGUUCACAGGUGGUGCAUGGUUGUCGUCAGCUCGUGUCGUGAGAUGUUGGGUUAAGUCCCGCAACGAGCGCAACCCUCGUUCCAUGUUGCCAGCACGUAGUGGUGGGGACUCAUGGGAGACUGCCGGGGUCAACUCGGAGGAAGGUGGGGACGACGUCAAAUCAUCAUGCCCCUUAUGUCUUGGGCUUCACGCAUGCUACAAUGGCCGGUACAAUGGGUUGCGAUACUGUGAGGUGGAGCUAAUCCCAAAAAGCCGGUCUCAGUUCGGAUUGGGGUCUGCAACUCGACCCCAUGAAGUCGGAGUCGCUAGUAAUCGCAGAUCAGCAACGCUGCGGUGA
rnacentral:rRNA from 1 species